rnacentral:piRNA from 1 species
GCAAACUGAAACAGCUUACAUCCCAAAU